CCUACGGGUGGCAGCAGUGAGGAAUAUUGGUCAAUGGGCGUAAGCCUGAACCAGCCAAGUCGCGUGAGGGAUGAAGGUUCUAUGGAUCGUAAACCUCUUUUAUAAGGGAAUAAAGUGUGGGACGUGUCCUGUUUUGUAUGUACCUUAUGAAUAAGGAUCGGCUAACUCCGUGCCAGCAGCCGCGGUAAUACGGAGGAUCCGAGCGUUAUCCGGAUUUAUUGGGUUUAAAGGGUGCGUAGGCGGCCUUUUCAGUCAGUGGUGAAAGUCUGUGGCUCAACCAUAGAAUUGCCGUUGAAACUGGGAGGCUUGAGUAUGUGUGAGGCAGGCGGAAUGCGUGGUGUAGCGGUGACAUGCGUAGAUAGCACGCAGAACCCCGAUUGCGAAGGCAGCCUGCCAAGCCAUGACUGACGCUGAUGCACGAAAGCGUGGGGAUCAAACAGGAUUAGAUACCCGAGUAGUC
rnacentral:rRNA from 1 species